rnacentral:misc_RNA from 1 species
CAACAACAACAACAAUAACAACAACAUGAUUCACCAUUGUACGAUUAAAAGUUGGCAAAACACAUACAUAAGCCCUGAGCUUUAAUCAAGCAUGAAUAAAGAAUUGAAACUUCGGAGAGGCCAACAUAAUUAAAUACAUUCAAACACACUCAUACACAAAACUAAUAAAUGAUAUAAAUAAAAAAACAAGAAGUAUACCAUAUUAUUAAGAAUUUCAUGCACAAAAAUUAUUUUAAAAGUUAAGAAAAAUAGUUAUAUAGGCUCAAUAAAUUGGCAACCAAAAAACCUUUUGGAGAAUGAAGAGUCAUAAAAACAACUUAAAAAAUAUGAUAAUCACUUGUCAAUUGAUUUGGGUUUAAUGAUGGUCAAAGAAAUUCUCUUUUUUUGGUCAAUUUCUCUUGAAAUCUCUUCAAUA